AUAUUGGACAAUGGGGGGAACCCUGAUCCAGCGACGCCGCGUGAGUGAAGAAGUAUUUCGGUAUGUAAAGCUCUAUCAGCAGGGAAGAAAAUGACGGUACCUGACUAAGAAGCCCCGGCUAACUACGUGCCAGCAGCCGCGGUAAUACGUAGGGGGCAAGCGUUAUCCGGAUUUACUGGGUGUAAAGGGAGCGUAGACGGCAUGCUAAGUCUGAUGUGAAAGAUCGGGGCUCAACCCCGGGCCUGCAUUGGAAACUGCCAGGCUGGAGUACAGGAGAGGUAAGCGGAAUUCCUAGUGUAGCGAUGAAAUGCGUAGAUAUUAGGAGGAACACCAGUGGCGAAGGCGGCUUACUGGACUGUAACUGACGUUGAGGCUCGAAAGCGUGGGGAGCAAACAGGA
rnacentral:rRNA from 1 species